AUUGCAAGUGUAACCCACAUAAAGUGGGUAUGCCACUUUAAGAGAAGAGGUUAAGGAAGCUGGGUGGUCUGCCUGGCCAAUGAGAAGUUUGGUUUCCAGAGCGUCUGGACCAAUCAGGGUGCAGGCUGCCGUUGUGGAUCCCGCCCUUCUCCCCCGGGUCUGCAGUACCGUUGGUUUUGCUCUAGAGAUCCGACGCGGUGAGACUGCUGAGCGGGGCAGCGCCAGAGUAUGUAUCCCGACAGUUAAAAGUAUUUUUUACGUGCUGUAUUAACUGUAUUGUGGAUAAACUCUUUUGUAAAUAGAUUUUAUGUUGAUUGUCCAGCUUUUGUGCUGGAAAUUAUUUAUUAAAUGAAUACAAACUGAACUUCAGUUUUUUACCGUUAGAGCCGUUAGGAAUCGUUGGCUCUUUCUGGCAGUUAUUUCAGCUUGUUCUUCGUAGAUAAAAGUGCCCCACGCAUCCGGAUUGAGACCCACUAUACGGUUGUCUGAAGUGUGUCGCACUGAGAUCGGUCAGGUUUUUUUUUAUACUGGAUCAUUCCUGAAGUGGAUCCCUCCUUUGAUAUUGAUGGCGAGCCUUCCCACCUGGACCUAAAGAGAGAACCAGAUUUCGUCUAUCCCAUUUGGAGUCAUGCUGCACCCUGCGGUGUGGUAGGAGAGCAACAUACAUCUUCACACACGGUUAUGUGUGAAACCUACAACUGACAUUCUCCAUUAUUAUUGUUUUUUUAUUUAUUGAUUUUUGGACAAUACUGUUUGGAUUGUUUUAUUUCGGACAUUGUGACGCACAGCUGUGGUGGAAAUUCUUCUGUGAAUGAAGUUGAAUCAAACCAAAUUGGGAUUAAUUUGAUUAAUCUGCUGACUAAUACAAUUUGGAGUGCAGAUUACCAGGGUGUACCCGAAUUAUUUGAAAUUAAGAAUUAGCACUUGGCCAAGUAUUAUUGUUAUUUCUUUUUUUUUUUCAUUUUAUUGUGUGUAAUUUUAUUUUCAUAAUUGUGUGUUUUGUGCAACUGUUAAUUGUGUGUUUUCUGUCACUAACACCAGUUCUUUAAAUACACCCAACUGCCCUUGUGUGUCAUUUAAACACUCCACUGUGCUCCGAUAGCCGAACCUAUUGGCCCAUUUAUCCAAAAUAUAUGUAAUACCCUUCUCUACUGUGUUACACAAGCACAACAAGGGAGCACAAUUUAUAAACAGAAAAGUCAGAAAGAAAGAGGGUAUAUGUAGCUUUUAAUAUCUUUAAAUAAUAAUAUUUACGUACCAUCAUGAAAUACUUUUUGCUUCUUCUACAAUAAAUGGCUGUGAAAAUGAGAUCUAGAUCUCAACGGGGUUUACCUGAUUAAAUAAAGGAAUAAUAAAAAAAAUAAAAAUAAAAAUAAAGGAAUAUGACAGCUGUUAUAUAGUACUUACAGGGCCGGCCCAAACCUUUUUGGGGCCCUAAGCAGAUUUUCAUUUUGGGCCCCACAUACCAACAUGUCAACACCAGAUGAUUUAUCAUUAUUAAGCUACUCUGUGUGUGUACCAUACCUACUAUCACUAGCAACUCAAAUUCAAAGUUCAAAGGUACUUUAUUGAUCCCAAAGGGAAAUUAAAUAACAAUAAUUAAUAAUACUAACAAAUAAUAAUAGCGUCAUUCGUAUUGAGCCUACAUCACAUCAGUGUUAUUAUGGCUGCUAAUUCUAAUCUUACAGAAGAGGCAAACUAAAAAAAAAUAUUUGUAUUUUGAAAUACAGAGUGGUGUUUAAGUGUGUUGUAUCAUUUUAACUAUUUGACAGCAUCAGCUGAUUAACACUAAAUUUACAGCCCUUGGGGGCCCUCUGGUGGUGUGGGGGACCUAAGCAACUGCUUAACUCAGAUAUCCGUUGGGCCAGCUCUGUUUGGGACACACGCUAAGAAAAAAUUAGCAUGACUUAAUUUGUGUUCCUAGCAGAAAAGCAACUUUCUGAAUAAAGAAAAAGAAUAAAGAAUAAUUUGAUUCCAAAGAGUAUUUGGUAUAAAAUGUUCUGAAUGGGAUCUGGGGAAAUAACUUGUACAAAAUAUACUGUACUACUUCACUAAUACUUGAUAUUGAUGAGCAUAUAAUUAUUAAGUAUAACAUUAGUGACACGGUGGUUG